rnacentral:rRNA from 1 species
GACGAACGCUGGCGGCGUGCUUAACACAUGCAAGUCGAACGGAAAGGCCCUGCUCUUGUGGGGUGCUCGAGUGGCGAACGUGUGAGUAACACGUUAGUAACCUGCCCUCGACUUUGGGAUAACUUCAGGAAACUGGGGCUAAUACCGGAUAGGAGCUCCUGCUGCAGGGUGGGGGUUGGAAAGUUUCGGCGGUUGGGGAUGGACUCGCGGCUUAUCAGCUUGUUGGUGGGGUAGUGGCUUACCAAGGCUUUGACGGGUAGCCGGCCUGAGAGGGUGACCGGCCACAUUGGGACUGAGAUGCGGCCGAGACUCCUACGGGAGGCAGCAGUGGGGAAUAUUGCACAAUGGGCGGAAGCCUGAUGCAGCAACGCCGCGUGCGGGAUGACGGCCUUCGGGUUGUAAACCGCUUUCGCCUGUGACGAAGCGUGAGUGACGGUAAUGGGUAAAGAAGCACCGGCUAACUACGUG